UACUACCGAAGCUACGGCAUCAGUAAUGAUGGGUAGGGGAGCUUCCCAUACGGGUGGAAGCAUGACCGUAAGGACAUGUGGACAGUAUGGGAGUGAGAAUGUUGGCAUGAGUAGCGAGAUGUGGGUGGGAAUCCCACAGGCCGUAAACCCAAGGUUUCCAGGGGAAGGUUCGUCCGCCCUGGGUUAGUCGGGACCUAAGCUGAGGCCGAAAGGCGUAGGUGAUGGACAACAGGUUGAUAUUCCUGUACUACCGAUAACCGUUUGAGAGAAGGGAUGACACAGUAGGAUAAGCUAAGCACACUG
rnacentral:rRNA from 1 species